rnacentral:rRNA from 1 species
CACGUAGGGGGCGAGCGUUGUCCGGAUUUAUUGGGCGUAAAGAGCUCGUAGGCGGUUCGCUAAGUCGGGUGUGAAACCUCCAGGCUCAACCUGGAGACGCCACCUGAUACUGGUGUGACUAGAGUCCGGUAGGGGAGUGUGGAACUCCUGGUGUAGCGGUGAAAUGCGCAGAUAUCAGGAAGAACACCAGCGGCGAAGGCGGCACUCUGGGCCGAUACUGACGCUGAGGAGCGAAAGCGUGGGGAGCGAA